UACGGGAGGCAGCAGUGGGGAAUAUUGCACAAUGGGCGCAAGCCUGAUGCAGCCAUGCCGCGUGUAUGAAGAAGGCCUUCGGGUUGUAAAGUACUUUCAGUCGUGAGGAAGGUGUUAAGGUUAAUAACCUUAGCAAUUGACGUUAGCGACAGAAGAAGCACCGGCUAACUCCGUGCCAGCAGCCGCGGUAAUACGGAGGGUGCGAGCGUUAAUCGGAAUUACUGGGCGUAAAGGGCACGCAGGCGGUUAAUUAAGUUGGAUGUGAAAUCCCCGGGCUUAACCUGGGAAUGGCAUUCAAGACUGGUUAGCUAGAGUCUUGUAGAGGGGGUUAGAAUUCCAUGUGUAGCGGUGAAAUGCGUAGAGAUGUGGAGGAAUACCGGUGGCGAAAGGCGGCCCCUGGACAAAGGACUGACGCUCAUGUGCGAAAGCGUGGGGAGCAAAC
rnacentral:rRNA from 1 species